CCAGACUCCUACGGGAGGCAGCAGUGAGGAAUAUUGGUCAAUGGCCGAAGGGCUGAACCAGCCAAGCCGCGUGAAGGAAUAAGGCCCUACGGGUCGUAAACUUCUUUAGUCAGGGAACAAAGGGUGCCACGUGUGGCGCUGUGAGUGUACCUGAAGAAUAAGCAUCGGCUAACUCCGUGCCAGCAGCCGCGGUAAUACGGAGGAUGCGAGCGUUAUCCGGAUUUAUUGGGUUUAAAGGGUGCGCAGGCGGAAUGUCAAGUCAGCGGUAAAAUUUCGGGGUUCAACCCCGUCGUGCCGUUGAAACUGGCGUUCUUGAGUGAGCGAGAAGUAUGCGGAAUGCGUGGUGUAGCGGUGAAAUGCAUAGAUACCACGCAGAACUCCGAUUGCGAAGGCAGCAUACCGGCGCUCAACUGACGCUCAUGCACGAAAGCGUGGGUAUCGAACAGGAUUAGAACCCGCGUA
rnacentral:rRNA from 1 species